UCAUCUUCGGGGGUAGAGCACUGUUUCGGCUAGGGGGUCAUCCCGACUUACCAACCCGAUGCAAACUACGAAUACCGAAGAAUGUUAUCACGGGAGACACACGGCGGGUGCUAACGUCCGUCGUGAAGAGGGAAACAACCCAGACCGCCAGCUAAGGUCCCAAAGUCAUGGUUAAGUGGGAAACGAUGUGGGAAGGCACAGACAGCCAGGAUGUUGGCUUAGAAGCAGCCAUCAUUUAAAGAAAGCGUAAUAGCUCACUGGUCGAGUCGGCCUGCGCGGAAGAUGUAACGGGGCUAAACCAUGCACCGAAGCUGCGGCAGCGACACUAUGUGUUGUUGGGUAGGGGAGCGUUCUGUAAGCCUGCGAAGGUGACCUGUGAGGGUUGCUGGAGGUAUCAGAAGUGCGAAUGCUGACAUAAGUAACGAUAAAGCGGGUGAAAAGCCCGCUCGCCGGAAGACCAAGGGUUCCUGUCCAACGUUAAUCGGGGCAGGGUGAGUCGACCCCUAAGGCGAGGCCGAAAGGCGUAGUCGAUGGGAAACAGGUUAAUAUUCCUGUACUUGGUGUUACUGCGAAGGGGGGACGGAGAAGGCUAUGUUAGCCGGGCGACGGUUGUCCCGGUUUAAGCAUGUAGGCUGGUUAUCCAGGCAAAUCCGGAUAAUCAAGGCUGAGGUGUGAUGACGAGGCACUACGGUGCUGAAGUAACAAAUGCCCUGCUUCCAGGAAAAGCCUCUAAGCAUCAGGUAACAUCAAAUCGUACCCCAAACCGACACAGGUGGUCAGGUAGAGAAUACCAAGGCGCUUGAGAGAACUCGGGUGAAGGAACUAGGCAAAAUGGUGCCGUAACUUCGGGAGAAGGCACGCUGGUGUGUAGGUGAAG
rnacentral:rRNA from 1 species